AACGAACGCUGGCGGCGUGCUUAACACAUGCAAGUCGAACGGAAAGGCCCUGCUUUUGUGGGGUGCUCGAGUGGCGAACGGGUGAGUAACACGUGAGUAACCUGCCCUUGACUUUGGGAUAACUUCAGGAAACUGGGGCUACUACCGGAUAGGAGCUCCUGCUGCAUGGUGGGGGGUGGAAAGUUUCGGCGGUUGGGGAUGGACUGGCGGCUUAUCAGCUUGUUGGUGGGGUAGUGGCUUACCAAGGCUUUGACGGGUAGCCGGCCUGAGAGGGUGACCGGCCACAUUGGGACUGAGAGACGGACCAGACGCCUACGGGAGGCAGCAGUGGGGAAUAUGGCACAAUGGUCGCAAGUCUGAUGCAGCAACGCCGCGUGCGGGAUGACGGCCUGUGGGUUGUAAACCGCUUUCGCCUGUGACGAAGCGUGAGUGACGGUAAUGGGUAAAGAAGCACCGGCUAACUACGUG
rnacentral:rRNA from 1 species